UGCCCAUUGCUGACUACAGAGUCAGUCUUA
rnacentral:piRNA from 1 species